UUUUUUUCGUCUAUAUGGGCCGAAUUGAAGUCUAAAUGGGUCUCGAUCUUAACUAUGCCUACACAGCAUAAAGAAGUUAAUCACUACAACAAAAUCAUCAUUUGGCCUUAUAAUAGAUAUUCAUUCUCAGGCACUCUAAGACACUGUGAAGUGGAUCUUUUGACGCUUAUGUUCAUCUUACUAGAUUGCAUAGGUGAGCUUUUUCUCUCAAAUCAUAUUAUCUUUGCCACUGCUAUGGUAGAGACCUUGGGGACUUAUCUUUGCCAAGGAAUGUUCCAUUGCAUAGCUAUUUAAACUUUAAAGUGAGCAGAAUUCUCAGUCUUUGAGCUACUUACUUACAAAGCCUCUAUUGUGCAACUCCUUUGACCCGGUACGACCUUGGAAGACAAAGAAGGCCUCACUGCUUGCAAGGGGCAAUGGCGAAGAAGAAGAUCAGAGACGGUCAAGCUUGCAGAUGCUCCUGAAACACCUCACCAACAGUGAAGGAGAUUCGACAAUGCCUACAUCUACAUGAGACCGAGGAGGCUGACUUGAGUUGAA